rnacentral:rRNA from 1 species
GGGGCAAGCGUUAUCCGGAUUUACUGGGUGUAAAGGGAGCGUAGACGGUUAUGCAAGUCUGGAGUGAAAGCCCGGGGCUCAACCCCGGGACUGCACUCGGAACUGGCGUGCUAGAGUGUUGGAGAGGUAAGCGGAAUUCCUAGUGUAGCGGUGAAAUGCGUAGAUAUUAGGAGGAACACCAGUGGCGAAGGCGGCUUACUGGACAAUAACUGACGCUGAGGCUCGAAAGCGUGGGGAGCAAACAGG